rnacentral:rRNA from 1 species
GACGAACGCUGGCGGCGUGCUUAACACAUGCAAGUCGAACGGUAAGGCCCUUCGGGGUACACGAGUGGCGAACGGGUGAGUAACACGUGGGUGAUCUGCCCUGCACUUCGGGAUAAGCCUGGGAAACUGGGUCUAAUACCGGAUAGGACCCUGGGAUGCAUGUCCUGGGGUGGAAAGCUUUUGCGGUGUGGGAUGGGCCCGCGGCCUAUCAGCUUGUUGGUGGGGUGAUGGCCUACCAAGGCGACGACGGGUAGCCGGCCUGAGAGGGUGACCGGCCACACUGGGACUGGGAUACGGCCCAGACUCCUAGGGGAGGCAGCAGUGGGGAAUAUUGCACAAUGGGCGCAAGCCUGAUGCAGCGACGCCGCGUGAGGGAUGACGGCCUUCGGGUUGUAGACCUCUUUCAGCACCGACGAAGCGCAAGUGACGGUAGGUGCAGAAGAAGGACCGGCCAACUACGUGCCAGCCGCCGCGGUAA